GCCUGGGUGGCUCACUAGGUUGAGCGUCCGACUUCAGCUCGGGUCAUGAUCUCACAGUCCGUGAGUUCGAGCCCCACGUCAGGCU
rnacentral:tRNA from 1 species